CAGACUACACCUGCAAUGCCGGAUCCUUAACCCACUGAUCAAGGCCAGAGAUCGAACCCUAUAUCUCAUGGUUCCUAGUUGGAUUCGUUUCCACAACACCACAAAUGGGAACUCACAAAAAUUACUUUUCUCCUUAACUGAACUAGAUUUAUUUUAUUUUUUUGUUUGUUUGUAACCAAGAACUCUGACUGAAACAUUCUUAGAAAGUAGGGAAAGUCAAAGGGAGAUCCAAUAUUCUCAUUUUUUCCUAACCAAUAAAAAGAAAAGACUGAUUUAUGGGAAAGAAUUACUAUAAAAUAAUUGCAUCCUAACAGAAUGAUUAGGUUUAGAAAAGCAGGUUUGGAGUUCCAGAUGUGGCUCAGCGGGUUAAGGAUCUGAUGUUUUCUCUAUAAGGAUGCAGGUUCAAUCCCUGGUCUCACUCAGUGGGUUAAUCAUCAGGUCUUGCUAUGGCAUCGGCUCCAGCUGCAGCUAAAAUUCUACCCUUGGCUCUGUGUAUGGCUGAAAAAAGAAAAAAAAAAAAAGGAAAAGCAGGUUUACAAAAAUUCAUCGAAAUUCCAUAUGUAAUAGAAAAGGAAAGAAUUCUAAAUUAUCUGCAUAAAUGUAAGAAAUUCAUGGAAAAAAAGGAAAAAAGUAGGAGAGAGGCACUAGAAGGGUUGCAAAGAUUAAAGUCCAGAGUAAGUACAAGUUUGUGAAUAUUCUUAAUAAAAAUGGAAAGACUUUAAAGUCACAAUCUCAAUAAGACCAAGAGAAGGCUGAGCCAGCAUCCUGGGAAGGAUGCCGCAAAGUUAGAUGAAGGCAGAACUCGUGGACUAGAUGAGUCACCUUGGUCACGACGACAUGCAGAACUUUACAGUGAUGGGUUUACUCAAUUUCUCCCUUUGUCCCAGCUUCUCUGGUAAGAAGGAUUGCCUUUAAUUUGUAAAUGGCAGGACAAUCAGCCAAAAUAAGGACAUUCAGUCCUAUUAAGACAGGUAAGAUAACAAGAGAACCCAAUCACACCUUUCAAUGAAACCAUUAAUUUUAAAAAACUUACAUAUGCACAUUGUAAGAAUGUGAGCCAGGAGUUCCCAUUAUGGCUCAACGAUAAUGAACCCGACUACUAUCCAUGAGGAUGCAGGUUCCAUCCCUGGCCCUGCUCAGUGGGUUAAGGAUCCGGUGUUGCCGUGAGCUUUGGUGUAGGCCAGCAGCUGAACCUCCAAUUUGACCCCUACCCUGUGAACUUCCAUAUGCUGGGGGAUGUGGCCCUAAACCCCCCCCCCCCUCCAGAAAAACCAAUCCUUCCAGAACUAGGGUGGCCAAGAGGCUGAAAAAAUUGGAGAUUGGGCUGAGAGAGUCCUGGAGAAUCAGGUGCAUUAGAUUACAACUCCAUCCCCUCCCUUUUCAACCACAUGAACAAAUACUUCCACUUUUUGUCCUUAAUUGAGUUCAAGUUUUUUUUCUUCUUUUUAGUAAAAAGGCCAGAAUGAUAAAUUCAUGGGUUAGGAUUAUGACGCUCCACCACUCAGGUUAAAAUCAGGAAGCAAUAGCUCUAGGCUUCUGAGAUCUCGGCGAUCACAAAACUAUUUCUCCUUCCAUUUUGCCUCUUUUGAUCAGUGGUUCUUAAUCAAUUUGUUUGCUGAAAGGUACCAGCAUCCUGUAGGAGAAUCUCCCAUGCAGAGUUAAUUACCGCUCCUUAUUAUCUGAUUGUCUCCCAUUAAAAAGUGCCUAAACCCUUGUAGUGCUUCUCUAUGGGAAAAUAUACAUUUCUGCCUACACCAUGGGAUAUUCAUAGGUUCAACUCAGCGUUCACAGCACAAAACUACCACCGACAGCUUUGGCAGAAGAAUAUAGGACAAGAACUACAAUUGUCAGCAGGGAACAUCAUGUGUUCCUCUUCUAUGGGACAUCAAAUCACACAGCCGCCCAGGAACCACUCACAUUUGAGAAGAGGAGAUCCACGCGGGGCAGGUGCCAGAAGCAUUCAUUCCCCACAGGAGCCAAUACCUCCUUUAACAACUUCAGAGUCAUCACUUCUAGCACUCCCACAAGGGCACCCCCAGUGAAAACAGUCACCACACUCAGGGAAGCUACAAGCUAUACACCUUCCAUCAGGGGUGUAUUGUGCCUUGAUCAUUCUUCCCAGUACAGUUGCAAUUUCCAGAGAUCAUUUUUAUUAUAAGCCGUAGUGCUGAAGAAUACUGUUAACAUACUGUUAACAUACUCCAGGGGAACAGAGUUAACAAAAGGUCAAUUUCUUACACAGCAGCGAAAAGGUUUUGUUAACCCUUUAUCCAAACUGCCUGCUUGAUGGUGGGUUUGACCAUGUGACUUGCUUUGACUAAUGGACACAAGUGGAGGUGAUUUAUGUCUCCUCCCAGCAGCCAUUGCUGGUUCCACGCUUACCCACUUCCCUCUGCCAGCAGACAAGGAGAGGGGCGUCUCCUCUGGCCCAAGCCCCCAAAUAAAGAAGCUGUUUGGAGCACAACCACGAAAAAGAGUUGCAGCAGAUCCUCAUCUUCCAAGAAACUUCCAAAGCAGGCUCAGCCCUGCCUACUAUAUGAGCUCUUGCCCAUCAGCUGGUGAACCUUUAGAAGACUUGGCAAAAAUGAGAUGGAAAGCUGGAUGCUUUGGGCAUCCAUGUGGACCCACCAGAUAUCAGCCUUCCCCAGUCAUCUGCCAGGUAGACUCUACUGGGCCUGGUCUAGAAAUAUUUCUUCACAUGGAUGAAAACCAGAGGCCUGUUGCAUCACACAUCACUUGGAUUGCUAAAUGGGAUUGAUUAUCUGCUGAAGUUUAACAGUAAAGAAGUAAAGAGUUAAGGAAAUGAAGUCCACAAGGAUAUUCCAGUUCACAAUAAUGUUAAUUUCCUGAGAAAAUGGCCUAACCCCAGAUAAAGAGAUUUACUUCUUCAAGAGAAUUGUUUUGUCUCCUUUUUCUUUUCUUUCUUUUUUUUUUUUGUUUUUAACAACAGAGCUCUAUUGUAGAGUGGGCCUUCUUGAAAGACUUGAAAUGACUUCUUUUCCAUACACAUAUAGGAGCAAAAUAAACAGAGAUAUAAGCAGAAUAGACAAGAUUCAAAAUGUGUGUGCAUGGAGCAUAGUCUGCAGAAUCCCUGCUGAGGGUUUGCCCAUGGGUUCAUAAGAUCAAUGUAUUAUAAACCUAUUUCUCACAUAUGCAUUAAUGACCUUCAUUCCAUCACCAUUUACCAAUACCUGCUUUGGGAAAACU